rnacentral:rRNA from 1 species
CAUACAUGCAAGUCGAGGGGCAGCGGAACAUUUCGGUGUUGCCGGCGACCGGCGGACGGGUGCGUAAUAUGUAUGCAAUUUGCUUUACACUGGGGCAUAGCUUCCGGAAAUGGAAAUUAAUUCCCCAUAUAAUCUUAUUAACGCAUGUUAGAAAGAUGAAAGCUCUGGCGGUGUAAAAUGAGCAUACUUCCUAUUAGCUAGUUGGAGAGGUAAUGGCUCACCAAGGCAAUGAUGGGUAGGGGUUCUUAGUGGAAGGUCCCCCACACUGGCACUGAGAUACGGGCCAGACUCCUACGGGAGGCAGCAGUAGGGAAUAUUGGUCAAUGGGCGCAAGCCUGAACCAGCUAUGCCGCGUGCAGGAUGAAGGCUCUCUGAGUCGUAAACUGCUUUUGUACAGGAACAAAAAAAUCUCUGCGGGGAUUCUUGAGGGUACUGUAAGAAUAAGCGCCGGCUAAUUCCGUGCCAGCAGCCGCGGUAAUACGGAAGGCGCAAGCGUUAUCCGGUUUUAUUGGGUUUAAUGGGUGCGUAGGCGGCUUAUUAAGUCAGUUGUGAAAUCCUAGUGCUUAACGCUAGAACUGCGAUUGAUACUGGUAGGCUUGAGUUAAGAAGAGGUAGGCAGAAUUUAUGGUGUGUAGUGAAAUGCUUUGAUAUCAUAAGGAAUGCCAA